rnacentral:rRNA from 1 species
CAAAACGACUCUCGGCAACGGAUAUCUCGGCUCUCGCAUCGAUGAAGAACGUAGCGAAAUGCGAUACUUGGUGUGAAUUGCAGAAUCCCGUGAACCAUCGAGUCUUUGAACGCAAGUUGCGCCCAAAGCCUUCUGGUUGAGGGCACGUCUGCCUG